rnacentral:lncRNA from 1 species
UAUAUGUAUACACACACACACACAGAGAUGUACACAUACCAUUACAUUGUCAUUCACAGUCCCAGCAGCAUGACUAUCACAUUUUUGAUAAGUGUCCUUUGGCAUAAAAUAAAAAUAUCCUAUCAGUCCUUUCUAAGAAACCUGAAUUGACCAAAAAACAUCCCCACCACCACUUUAUAAAGUUGAUUCUGCUUUAUCCUGCAGUAUUGUUUAGCCAUCUUCUGCUCUUGGUAAGGUUGACAUAGUAUAUGUCAAUUUAAAAAAUAAAAGUCUGCUUUGUAAAUAGUAAUUUUACCCAGUGGUGCAUGUUUGAGCAAACGAAAAUGAUGAUUUAAGCACACUACUUAUUGCAUCAAAUAUGUACCACAGUAAGUAUAGUUUGCAAGCUUUCAACAGGUAAUAUGAUGUAAUUGGUUCCAUUAUAGUUUGAAGCUGUCACUGCUGCAUGUUUAUCUUGCCUAUGCUGCUGUAUCUUAUUCCUUCCACUGUUCAGAAGUCUAAUAUGGGAAGCCAUAUGUCAGUGGUAAAGUGAAGCAAAUUGUUCUACCAAGACCUCAUUCUUCAUGUCAUUAAGCAAUAGGUUGCAGCAAACAAGGAAGAGCUUCUUGCUUUUUAUUCUUCCAACCUUAAUUGAACACUCUAUGAUGAAAAGCCCGACUGUACAAACACGUUGCAAGCUGCUUAAAUCUGUUUAAAAUAUAUGGUUAGAGUUUUCUAAGGAAAUAUAAAUACUGUAAAAAGUUCAUUUUAUUUUAUUUUUCAGCCUUUUGUACAUAAAAUGAGAAAUUAAAAGUAUCUUCAGGUGGAUUUCACAGUCACUAUUGUUAGUUUCUGUUCCUAGCACUUUUAAACUGAAGCACUUCACAAAAUAAGAAGCAAGGACUAGGAUGCAGUGUAGGUUUCUGCUUUUUUAUUAGUACUGUAAACUUGCACACGUUUCAAUGUGAAACAAAUCUCAAACUGAGUUCAAUGUUUAUUUGCUUUCAAUAGUAAUGCCUUAUCAUUGAAAGAGGCUUAAAGAAAAAAAUCAGCUGAUAUUCUUGGCAUUGCUUGAAUCCAAUGUUUCCACCUAGUCUUUUUAUUCAGUAAUCAUCAGUCUUUUCCAAUGUUUGUUUACACAGAUAGAUCUUAUUGACCCAUAUGGCACUAGAACUGUAUCAGAUAUAAUAUGGGAUCCCAGCUUUUUUUCCCCCCCACAAAACCAGGUAGUGAAGUUAUAUUACCAGUUACAGCAAAAUACUUUGUGUUUCACAAGCAACAAUAAAUGUAGAUUCUCUAUACUAAAGCUAUUGACUUGUAGUGUGUUGGUGAAAUGCAUGCAGGAAAAUGCUGUUACCAUAAAGAACGGUAAACCACAUUACAAUCAAGCCAAAAGAAUAAAGGUUUCGCUUUUGUUUUUGUAUUUAAUUGUUGUCUUUGUUUCUAUCUUUGAAAUGCCAUUUAAAGGUACAUUUCUAUCAUGUAAAAAUAAUCUAUCUGAAAAACAAAUGUAAAGAACACACAUUAAUUAUGAUAGUUCAUCUUUCAAUUUUUUCAUGGAAUGGAAGUUAAUUAAGAAGAGUGUAUUGGAUAACUACUUUAAUAUUGGCCAAAAACCUAGAUAUGGCAUUAGGUAGAGUAGUGGAAAGUUACAAAAAUUAAUAAAAAAUUGACUAACACUUUAAGUUGUGCAUCUUUUCUCCUUCCUGUCCACCUAUUGCUCUUUUUUUCACUUUUCCAUUUCAAUUUCUUCCUUAUGUAUUCUUGAUCUACUUUUCUUUAUAUCCUUCUAUCCUUUCCUUGGGUUUUCAGUAUUUUUCAUUUAGGAUAUUCUCCUUGUUUCUUUUCUAUUCACCAAAUGUCUUGUUUAUUACAGUCUACAGACCACUUAGACUUAGAUCCCUAAAAUUUGCUAUCACUCUGUAAAGUGCACAUAGUAUCUGCGUAUUUAUUUUUACAAUUUUCUUUACAAAAAUUCUAAGAAAGCUUAGACUGCAACUUUUCAUAAUAUAUAACAAUUCCCAAACAGCACAGAUUUGACUUUCUCGUUUAAUUAUGUACAGUUUGGGAAACGUUUCUUGAUUCUGAAUGCAUAUUAGAAUUACCUGAGAAGAAAAAAAAAAAAAAAAAAA